GAUGAACGCUGGCGGCGUGCCUAAUACAUGCAAGUCGAGCGAACAGACGAGGAGCUUGCUCCUCUGACGUUAGCGGCGGACGGGUGAGUAACACGUGGAUAACCUACCUAUAAGACUGGGAUAACUUCGGGAAACCGGAGCUAAUACCGGAUAAUAUUUUGAACCGCAUGGUUCAAUAGUGAAAGACGGUCUUGCUGUCACUUAUAGAUUGAUCCGCGCUGCAUUAGCUAGUUGGUAAGGUAACGGCUUACCAAGGCAACGAUGCGUAGACGACCUGAGAGGGUGAUCGGCCACACUGGAACUGAGACACGGUCCAGACUCCUACGGGAGGCAGCAGUAGGGAAUCUUCCGCAAUGGGCGAAAGCUUGACGGAGCAACGCCGCGUGAGUGAUGAAGGUCUUCGGAUCGUAAAACUCUGUUAUUAGGGAAGAACAAAUGUGUAAGUAACUAUGCACGUCUUGACGGUACCUAAUCAGAAAGCCACGGCUAACUACGUG
rnacentral:rRNA from 1 species